GCUGGGUGUUUGUUGCUGGUGUUCCUGGGUGUUGGUGGCUGGUGUUGCUGGAUGUUGGUGGCUGGUGUUGCUGGAUGUUUGUUGCUGGUGUUGCUGGAUGUUUGUUGCUUGCAUUGCUGGGUGUUUGAGGCUGGAUGGUUGUUGCUGGUGUUGCUGGAUGUUUGGUGCUGGCAUUCCUGGAUGUUUGUUGCUGAUGUUGCUGGAUGUUUGUUGCUUGCAUUGCUGGGUGUUUGUUGCUGGUGUUCCUGGGUGUUGGUGGCUGGUGUUGCUGGAUGUUGGUGGCUGGUGUUGCUGGAUGUUUGUUGCUGGUGUUCCUGGAUGUUUGUUGCUGGUGUUGCUGGAUGUUUGGUGCUGGCAUUCCUGGAUGUUUGUUGCUGGCGUUGCUGGAUGUUUGUUGCUGGUAUUGCUGGAUGUUUGUUGCUGGUGUUGCUGGAUGUUUGUUGCUGGCAUUCCUGGAUGUUUGUUGCUGGAUGUUUGUUGCUGGUGUUGCUGGAUGUUUGGUGCUGGCAUUCCUGGAUGUUUGUUGCUGAUGUUGCUGGAUGUUUGUUGCUUGCAUUGCUGGGUGUUUGUUGCUGGUGUUCCUGGGUGUUGGUGGCUGGUGUUGCUGGAUGUUGGUGGCUGGUGUUGCUGGAUGUUUGUUGCUGGUGUUGCUGGAUGUUUGUUGCUGGUGUUCCUGGAUGUUUGUUGCUGGUGUUGCUGGAUGUUUGGUGCUGGCAUUCCUGGAUGUUUGUUGCUGGUGUUGCUGGAUGUUUGGUGCUGGAUGUUUGUUGCUGGCGUUGCUGGAUGUUUGAUGCUGGCGUUGCUGGAUGUUUGUUGCUGGUGUUGCUGGAUGUUUGUUGCUUGCAUUGCUGGGUGUUUGUUGCUGGUGUUCCUGGAUGUUGGUGGUUGGUGUUGCUGGAUGUUUGUUGCUGGUGUUGCUGGAUGUUUGUUGCUGAUGUUGCUGGAUGUUUGUUGCUUGCAUUGCUGGGUUUUGUUGCUGGUGUUCCUGGAUGUUUGUGGCUGGUGUUGCUGGAUGUUGGUGGCUGGUGUUGCUGGAUGUUUGUUGCUGGUGUUCCUGGAUGUUUGGUGCUGGUGUUGCUGGAUGUUUGGUGCUUGCAUUGCUGGGUUUUGUUGCUGGUGUUCCUGGAUGUUGGUGGCUGGUGUUGCUGGAUGUUGGUGGCUGGUGUUGCUGGAUGUUUGUUGCUGGUGUUGCUGGUACUUAGCAUCCAAAGAGUUAAAGAGUAUGAGCCUCAAACGUGCCUGACAAGGUCUACAGAAUUCAUCCUUCUGCACAAAAAGAUGCAACUUCUGCUUCGUCUCAUCCACCAUCACACGCAUCCACACCAUCAGUCCGAACGCCUUGCAUUAUGAGCGUGCUCAGUAGAAGUAACUUAUAAUUAUAUUGGGCGGCUGUGGCUUGUUUGUUAGAGGUGGUCAUCUGUGGGACAUGUCUCGUUUGAAUGAAGCGUGUAAAAAUUGAGACUGAGUAAAAAAGCACUACAAGUACCAUCACACCAGCUAGUACUACGUGUUUAUGAUGAAGUAUUACACUCUGCAGGUCAGGGAAUAAUAACAGUAAAAACACCUCACAGGUAUUUUCAGCAACAUACAGGGGUGUGUCUACAGGGGGGCAUGGGGUGUACACUAUUUUACACUGUAGUUCCUCGUUAUUCUGCAGAUUAAGAUUAUUAAUAAAAUAUUUAAUAAUCCGUUAUGUUCUGUGCUUACAGAGUAACCAAACCAGCAUCAUAAGCAUGUUUACCACAGGCCCGCAGAGCAGCAGUGAGACCAGGCAGUAAUAAUCAAACCAGAACACACAGAUUCAAAAACACACCAUGUUUCUCAUUUUAACACGUGACACUGAUCUGAGAGCAGCGGCUCUGCAGAGAAGCGUCUGCAAAGACUUUAAGUUUGUAUUCAUGCAGCAUGUUCCUGCACACACACGUCGUCAACAUCUAAUUAUGUGUGUGUGUGUAGCUGGUCUCACUGGGAGAUGGGGGCUGUGCAUCGGGGGGGAACUAGUUUUAAUGGGUGGGGGAGGCUGAGCCGGCAUUGGCUGCACAUGGUCCUAGUGCCUGCAGGCUCCUUGUUUCAGGUUCAGUUAAUCUGAGUACUCAGAUUACUUUUUCCUUGUAAGGAGUAAGCUGCAUGACCGGUUCUCCCUCUGAGAUCGCUAACGUCUCCAAACAGCCUCGGCCGGUGUUUGCUCACCAUCUACGUUGUUCCAAGCUGAAAGCGGAGCUCUCCAGCAGGAGAGCGUCUUUGUAUGUGAAGGAUACGUGCAGCUCAAAGACUCUUGAGCUCUGCUGCUCGCUCUGCGCUCAGGGGAUUUACAGCCCCACACCUUCUACACCAAACACCUGCACCGCUGCACCACCAGCAGCGUCUGUCCCUGUGCACCUCACAUCCGUGUAAUGUUGACGACUCCGCCCCCUGAGGACGGCAGAGCGGUUGACAUUUUAGAAACGCUCUGACACUGAUGUCAGCCAGCAAAGGAAACCUGUUUCCAUCCAGUGAUUAGUGAAACUCAGCUGUGAUUCCUGGGUGGAGGCGUCUGACGGAGGAAUCCUCGGUGCUUGCAGUGACCGGCUCGUCUGAUGUUAUUCUUUCAUCCAAACAGGAAGUUUACCGGAGGCACCGGGUCUGCCGCUCAGCUGUGGCCUGGCCCCCAGGGCUGAAGGGGUUAAACACAGAGACACACGGCGUCCUCCUUUGACCUUUGACCCACAUUUCCUGCUCCAACUGGAGACCAGCGCCGACUGCUGCUGCAGCUGGAAAACUUCUCAGAAACAUGUGUUCAGAGCUCCACCUCUCCUCCAUCAGCUCGCUGCGAGAGAGUGUGUUUGUGCGUCUGUGUGUGUUAUGUGCUCACAGUAAGGCCAGAGAGCCGGCCCGUCCUCCAUGUUUCUCACUGCAGUUAUACAACAACACAUUAAUCCUGAAGUUAUGUGACCGACACACAUUACAUAACACACACACACACACGCGCGCCUGCCCUGCUGGUUAACGGGGACCUUCUCUCUGCUGAUAGGAAACAGGAACAGGAUUUCUGUUCUGUUUACUGACAACGCUUUAUUUACAGGAAGUCCCGCCUUAAACCCUCCCCUACUACCUGUUCUGAAUCUAAUCAGCAUUAGGGAGAAUGCAUGUUGAAGACUCAACUUUAUGUCCAUCUUUAUGUACAGUCUGUUUUGGGGGGAGAACUACAAUUCCCAAGAUGCAUUUAAAUGGUAAACGGCCUGUAUUUGUAUAGCGCUUUACUUAGUCCCUAAAGACCCCAAAGCGCUUUACACUACAUUCAGUCAUCCACCCAUUCACACACACAUUCACACACUGGUGAUGGCAAGCUACAUUGUAGCCACAGCCACCCUGGGGCGCACUGACAGAGCAACAAACAUCCAAUCAGUGAGCUACAAAGUCAGCUGACUGCAAAAGAUAAAGAAUGAUGGGUACUGUAGUGUACUGAAGCUUUUUUCAGAGACAGUCAUGGUGUAUCUUUAUAGCGUGUCUUUGCAGCCGAGCAUCAAACGUGGGGGCAGUGUUAACCCUCUCUUGUGUCUGCAGGUGUGUCUCCAUCUUCUUCGUGGAGUUUCAGGCUCACUUCGGGGCCGACUAUGCUGCCACCGCCUGGAUCCACAGCCUGCUGGACUGCAGCACCAUGCUCUGCGGCUGGCUGGUUGAUGUUACAGGAAGUUACACAGCCACUUUCUUCCUCAGCGGCACCGCUCUGCUGGCCAGUGCGGUCAUUCUCUCCGCCGUCACCGGA